UACGGGGGGGGCAAGCGUUGUUCGGAAUUACUGGGCGUAAAGGGCUCGUAGGUGGCCAACUAAGUCAGACGUGAAAUCCCUCGGCUUAACCGGGGAACUGCGUCUGAUACUGGAUGGCUUGAGUUUGGGAGAGGGACGCGGAAUUCCAGGUGUAGCGGUGAAAUGCGUAGAUAUCUGGAGGAACACCCGUGGCGAAAGCGGCUCUCUGGAACGGUACUGACGCUGAGACGCGAAAGCGUGGGGAGCGAACAGG
rnacentral:rRNA from 1 species